CGGCAGGCCUAACACAUGCAAGUCGAGCGCACUCUUCGGAGUGAGCGGCGGACGGGUUAGUAACGCGUGGGAAUAUACCCGGUACUAAGGAAUAGCCACUGGAAACGGUGAGUAAUACCUUAUACGCCCUUCGGGGGAAAGAUUUAUCGGUAUCGGAUUAGCCCGCGUUAGAUUAGAUAGUUGGUGGGGUAAUGGCCUACCAAGUCUACGAUCUAUACCUGGUUUGAGAGGAUGAUCA
rnacentral:rRNA from 1 species